rnacentral:rRNA from 1 species
UACGAAGGGGCUAGCGUUGCUCGGAAUCACUGGGCGUAAAGGGUGCGUAGGCGGGUCUUUAAGUCAGGGUGAAAUCCUGGAGCUCAACUCCAGAACUGCCUUUGAUACUGAGGAUCUUGAGUACGGGAGAGGUGAGUGGAACUGCGAGUGUAGAGGUGAAAUUCGUAGAUAUUCGCAAGAACACCAGUGGCGAAGGCGGCUCACUGGCCCGUUACUGACGCUGAGACACGAAAGCGUGGGUAGCAAACAGGA